GCUGAAGUGGCGGAACUGGUAUACGCACAGGACUUAAAAUCCUGCGGCUUCGGCCUUACGGGUUCGAUCCCCGUCUUCAGCACCA
rnacentral:tRNA from 1 species